rnacentral:rRNA from 1 species
AAUCCAUAGGUUAAUGAGGCGAACCGGGGGAACUGAAACAUCUAAGUACCCCGAGGAAAAGAAAUCAACCGAGAUUCCCCCAGUAGCGGCGAGCGAACGGGGAGGAGCCCAGAGCCUGAAUCAGCAUGUGUGUUAGUGGAAGCGUCUGGAAAGGCGCGCGAUACAGGGUGACAGCCCCGUACACAAAAGCGCAUGUGCUGUGAGCUCGAUGAGUAGGGCGGGACACGUGGUAUCCUGUCUGAAUAUGGGGGGACCAUCCUCCAAGGCUAAAUACUCCUGACUGACCGAUAGUGAACCAGUACCGUGAGGGAAAGGCGAAAAGAACCCCGGCGAGGGGAGUGAAAAAGAACCUGAAACCGUGUACGUACAAGCAGUGGGAGCCCCACCACCAAAGCAUUUGCUGUACCGCGUUGACGGAGCGAAGCGACGUCAAACCGAUAAAACAGCAGUGUAAAGUGAGCCGCAGGGCGCUUUGCGCGACAGCGCAAAGGCAGGCGGUUUCGCGUAGCGAAAGCGAAUGCUUUGGGGUGGGGUGACUGCGUACCUUUUGUAUAAUGGGUCAGCGACUUAUAUUCUGUAGCAAGGUUAACCGAAUAGGGGAGCCGGAGGGAAACCGAGUCUUAAUUGGGCGUUAAGUUGCAGGGUAUAGACCCGAAACCCGGUGAUCUAGCCAUGGGCAGGUUGAAGGUUGGGUAACACUAACUGGAGGACCGAACCGACUAAUGUUGAAAAAUUAGCGGAUGACCUGUGGCUGGGGGUGAAAGGCCAAUCAAACCGGGAGAUAGCUGGUUCUCCCCGAAAGCUAUUUAGGUAGCGCCUCGUGAAUUCAUCUCCGGGGGUAGAGCACUGUUUCGGCUAGGGGGCCAUCCCGGCUUACCAACCCGAUGCAAACUGCGAAUACCGGAGAAUGUUAUCACGGGAGACACACGGCGGGUGCUAACGUCCGUCGUGAAGAGGGAAACAACCCAGACCGCCAGCUAAGGUCCCAAAGUCAUGGUUAAGUGGGAAACGAUGUGGGAAGGCCCAGACAGCCAGGAUGUUGGCUUAGAAGCAGCCAUCAUUUAAAGAAAGCGUAAUAGCUCACUGGUCGAGUCGGCCUGCGCGGAAGAUGUAACGGGGCUAAACCAUGCACCGAAGCUGCGGCAGCGACA